rnacentral:lncRNA from 1 species
UGGCAUGAUCAACGGUGGCGGGCGGCGUGUCUACAUUUUUAAUAAAAUGAUGCGUCUUUGUUGCAAAUUAAUACUUUGAUUACAUCACUUCAUUUUACGUAUUUUACUCAAUUUUCCUUAAAUAUUAUUAAUCGAUUUUGUUUUUUUGUAAACUACAGUAGCUUGUAGCUUUUCUUCAAAGAAAAGGCUCGGUCCUCCACUACAAAGACAGACAGACCUCUACGAUUUUGCUUUUGUUUAAAGAUUUUUUUUGGUUUUCCCACAAAAAAACCAAACAGGACGUAUAAUUUUCACGAAUAUUUUUAAGAUUUUCUAUUUGUGAACAAGUGAAACGUAGAAACUUCGUCUUUAUUAUAUAAAAUUACCAAGUUCACGAAAUUAACUAGUAAUUUAGUUGGAGGGAAAUUAUGAAAGUGCCAAUUUAAAGGAAGACAUUGCGUACGUGGAACGUAAUAUCUUUUGAGAAAGUCUUUUGGCGCUAGUUUGAUGGAGUCGUUGUUAAGGCACGUGUCAUUCAAUUGACUUGUUGUUGAAGGAAACUGAUACGAUCAUUCGAACGAAGUUUUCAGGUAUUUCUUGCUUUUUAUUCUCUGUUCAAAUUAACGUCGUCGGUACGCGUUUUCCGUACCAAUGGAAUCGAGUUUUUUUUUUUUUUUAACACAUACCAUUCUCCGAUCGUUGGCCAGUUCAUCAUAAUAACCUCAGCAACAAUUUUGCCACAUAACAUAAUAUAUAACAGACUUCAUAAUAAUAUAGAAAUUAAUUAAUCUCUCGCAUCUUCGCAUUGGAGACUAAAAAUUGUGAGUGGACGUACGUACGUCUUAUCAUAAAAAGAGCCAUUAACCCCUCUCGUAAACACGAAGAGCUGCAAUGGCCGUUGGGUUUAGAGGAAGAACAACUUACCGUCCGAGAACACACUAUAGCCGUUUUCUCACAUUAAUUGCGUGUAGUGUAUAUAUAUAAAUAUUUUGACGUCGACGGACCAGUAGUAAAGUCUUACAAAUUGUUAUAGUAAUCUAGUUACGUGAUUCAUCCGCUUUCAAACAGUCGGUGUAGGCAAUAGCUGGGAUAGGUAGAACCAGGUCUUUGACAUCUUCGCUAACAACAUCAUGACCUGCAUGCAUAUAUAUAUUAAAAAAAAAAAAAAACGCAACUACGGACGUCAUGGUGAUCAUCUCC